rnacentral:rRNA from 2 species
CAUGAUUUACAUUUGAGUGAGUGGCGAACUGGUGAGUAACACGUGGGAAACCUGCCCAGAAGCGGGGGAUAACACCUGGAAACAGAUGCUAAUACCGCAUAACAACUUGGACCGCAUGGUCCGAGUUUGAAAGAUGGCUUCGGCUAUCACUUUUGGAUGGUCCCGCGGCGUAUUAGCUAGAUGGUGGGGUAACGGCUCACCAUGGCAAUGAUACGUAGCCGACCUGAGAGGGUAAUCGGCCACAUUGGGACUGAGACACGGCCCAAACUCCUACGGGAGGCAGCAGUAGGGAAUCUUCCACAAUGGACGAAAGUCUGAUGGAGCAACGCCGCGUGAGUGAAGAAGGGUUUCGGCUCGUAAAACUCUGUUGUUAAAGAAGAACAUAUCUGAGAGUAACUGUUCAGGUAUUGACGGUAUUUAACCAGAAAGCCACGGCUAACUACGUGCCAGCAGCCGCGGUAAUACGUAGGUGGCAAGCGUUGUCCGGAUUUAUUGGGCGUAAAGCGAGCGCAGGCGGUUUUUUAAGUCUGAUGUGAAAGCCUUCGGCUCAACCGAAGAAGUGCAUCGGAAACUGGGAAACUUGAGUGCAGAAGAGGACAGUGGAACUCCAUGUGUAGCGGUGAAAUGCGUAGAUAUAUGGAAGAACACCAGUGGCGAAGGCGGCUGUCUGGUCUGUAACUGACGCUGAGGCUCGAAAGUAUGGGUAGCAAACAGGAUUAGAUACCCUGGUAGUCCAUACCGUAAACGAUGAAUGCUAAGUGUUGGAGGGUUUCCGCCCUUCAGUGCUGCAGCUAACGCAUUAAGCAUUCCGCCUGGGGAGUACGGCCGCAAGGCUGAAACUCAAAGGAAUUGACGGGGGCCCGCACAAGCGGUGGAGCAUGUGGUUUAAUUCGAAGCUACGCGAAGAACCUUACCAGGUCUUGACAUACUAUGCAAAUCUAAGAGAUUAGACGUUCCCUUCGGGGACAUGGAUACAGGUGGUGCAUGGUUGUCGUCAGCUCGUGUCGUGAGAUGUUGGGUUAAGUCCCGCAACGAGCGCAACCCUUAUUAUCAGUUGCCAGCAUUAAGUUGGGCACUCUGGUGAGACUGCCGGUGACAAACCGGAGGAAGGUGGGGAUGACGUCAAAUCAUCAUGCCCCUUAUGACCUGGGCUACACACGUGCUACAAUGGAUGGUACAACGAGUUGCGAACUCGCGAGAGUAAGCUAAUCUCUUAAAGCCAUUCUCAGUUCGGAUUGUAGGCUGCAACUCGCCUACAUGAAGUCGGAAUCGCUAGUAAUCGCGGAUCAGCAUGCCGCGGUGAAUACGUUCCCGGGCCUUGUACACACCGCCCGUCACACCAUGAGAGUUUGUAACACCCAAA